rnacentral:rRNA from 1 species
GAUGAACGCUAGCGGCAGGCUUAACACAUGCAAGUCGAGGGGCAGCAUGAACUUAGCUUGCUAAGUUCGAUGGCGACCGGCGCACGGGUGAGUAACACGUAUCCAACCUGCCUUCAACUCAGGGAUAGCCUUUCGAAAGAAAGAUUAAUACUUGAUGGCAUAACCUGGUCUCCUGACUUGGUUAUUAAAGAAUUUCGGUUGAAGAUGGGGAUGCGUUCCAUUAGGCAGUUGGCGGGGUAACGGCCCACCAAACCGACGAUGGAUAGGGGUUCUGAGAGGAAGGUCCCCCACAUUGGAACUGAGACACGGUCCAA